rnacentral:ncRNA from 1 species
UUAUAUUCAGUGAAGAAGAUUAAAUAAUGGACAUUGAUAGAGAGGUCAUGGCUGGUGGAAAUGACUAAUGAGAAGUUAUGGGACACUUUGGAGAAUGCUUUAAAAAAGCACGUUGGUAACGUUAUAACUAAAUAAAGUGCAUGAUUUAUUCAUGAACUAAGGUGGUACCGCGUAUUAACGUCCUUAGA